UCAUUCGUGCUUCGACACCCUCUUCCACUUUGAGGACAUGCAAGAGAUCAUAAAGAACUUCGUGGUGAUCCAUGUGGACGCGCCUGGCAUGGAGGAGGGCGCCCCGGCCUUUCCUCUGGGGUAUCAGUAUCCCUCACUGGACCAGCUCGCUGACAUGAUCCCCUGCAUCCUGCAAUAUGUCAACUUCACCAGCAUCAUUGGCAUCGGAGUGGGGGCUGGCGCCUAUGUUCUGGCCCGCUACAGCGUAAGUCAC